UACGUAGGGGGCUAGCGUUGUUCGGAUUCAUUGGGCGUAAAGCGCGUGUAGGCGGCCAGGUAGGUCCGAUGUGAAAACUGGAGGCUCAACCUCCAGCUGUCAUUGGAAACCAUCUGGCUAGAGUCCGGAAGAGGAGAGUGGAAUUCCUGGUGUAGCGGUGAAAUGCGCAGAUAUCAGGAAGAACACCGAUGGCGAAGGCAGCUCUCUGGGACGGUACUGACGCUGAGACGCGAAAGCGUGGGGAGCGAACAGG
rnacentral:rRNA from 1 species